AACGAACGCUGGCGGCAGGCUUAACACAUGCAAGUCGAACGCCCCGCAAGGGGAGUGGCGCACGGGUGAGUAACGCGUGGGAAUAUGCCCUUCGGUUCGGAAUAACACAGGGAAACUUGUGCUAAUACCGGAUACGAUAUACGGAUGAAAGAUUUAUCGCGGAGGGAGUAGCCCGCGUAGGAUUAGCUAGUUGGUGAGGUAAUGGCUCACCAAGGCGACGAUCCUUAGCUGGUCUGAGAGGAUGAUCAGCCACACUGGGACUGAGACACGGCCCAGACUCCUACGGGAGGCAGCAGUGGGGAAUAUUGGACAAUGGGGGAAACCCUGAUCCAGCCAUGCCGCGUGAGUGAUGAAGGCCUUAGGGUUGUAAAGCUCUUUCGCCAGGGAAGAUAAUGACGGUACCUGGAAAAGAAGCCUCGGCUAACUCCGUGCCAGCCGCCGCAGUAAAAC
rnacentral:rRNA from 1 species